UCAAGCCCCGGUCAGUGAUUCCUUUGGUAAUGCUGUUGUAUCUGGUGGUGUAUUGAAUAAUUUAGUGUCAUCGCCUGAGAAAAGAGGAAAGGGUCGACCGCGAAAGGCUGAUGGAACGCCAAAAAGACCGGUUGGGCGGCCUAAGAAGAUAAAUAUGACUCCUACGGUGGAGACGG